rnacentral:rRNA from 1 species
GUUGACCUCGGAUCAGGUAGGAAUACCCGCUGAACUUAAGCAUAUCAAUAAGCGGAGGAAAAGAAACCAACAGGGAUUGCC